rnacentral:misc_RNA from 1 species
GAUGAAGAACGCAGCGAAAUGCGAUACGUAAUGUGAAUUGCAGAAUUCAGUGAAUCAUCGAAUCUUUGAACGCACAUUGCGCCCUCUGGUAUUCCGGGGGGCAUGCCUGUUCGAGCGUCAUUAUAACCACUCAAGCUCUCGCUUGGUAUUGGGGUUCGCGGUUCCGCGGCCCCUAAAAUCAGUGGCGGUGCCUGUCGGCUCUACGCGUAGUAAUACUCCUCGCGAUUGAGUCCGGUAGGUCUACUUGCCAGCAACCCCCAAUUUUUACAGGUUGACCUCGGAUCAGGUAGGGAUACCCGCUGAACUUAAGCAUAUAAAUAAGCGGAGGA